rnacentral:lncRNA from 1 species
CUUUUUGUUUACUUGACAUCAUGUUACACCAAAUUACUGAACACACUAUAAAAUACAAUAUACUAUAUUGAACUUUGAACAAAAUUAAAAUCAACACACAGAAGCUGAAAGUACAAAGCUUGAUACCAAUUUUAUGAACUUGAUAAUGAAGCUUGACACAAUAAAAUAAAAAAGAGAUGAUAGCAACAGAAGACUUAACAAAUUUAUUCUGUCAACUCUUGACUUCAUUGCACUGAUAAUGAGUCUUGCCUCUAUAUUCUCUAUAGCAAUGGUCACUAUAACAGACAGACAGAUAACACAAAAUUCAAAAGUCAUGGACUAUUACAAAUGUUACAGAAUGGGAAUUGAAAUUUGUGCACUUAUGACAGUUAUAUCAAAAUUGGAUGGAAUGCUACAUGUCAUAAAAUCAGCUCAUAAAACAGGAGUUGUUUGCUCUAAUGGUGUUCAUUAUACACAUGAAUUUUUAACAUUAGAAGAUAGACUGGUCAAACCAUUUUAUGCCAAAACAAUCAUUAAAUGGGAAUAUUCAUUAUUUUAGGACUGCUGACAAUGGGGUUACAAUGUAUUUAAUUAUAGUAGUUGUACUUAAACUGAAAUUGCUGAAUGUUUAUUAAUC